AAUAAGAUGCCUGAAAAAAAGGAUCAUUUUGAUAAAAUGAAAUAUACAAUUUAUGUUCUUGUUA
rnacentral:tRNA from 1 species